UUAUCCUAUAGAUGGUUGUAGGUCCCAUAUAGAUUUUGAUUGUUGAGAUUUUAAUGGAUCUAUAGUUUUGAUUCCAGUUUUUUGAUGAGAAGUGUCCAGCCCUUAUUUGAGAAGAAAUGUUAAAUAAUUAUUGAUUGUGUGCCUUCACAAUGAGGUUUUUCUACAGA